rnacentral:lncRNA from 1 species
GCUAUGGGAAUGGUGGCCUUAACCUCCUUGUGUCCUCUGGGAUUCGAUUUGUGAGAUGCUUUUGUGAAUCGUGUUUGUGUUCUUCGCGUUCUUGCUCUCUCCCCUCUUGUUCUUGCCUCGAUUCAUCAUUUUGAGACCGAUUUGAUUUGUUCCUUUUGCAUUGGCUUGAGCUAUUAUGUGAGUUGAGCCAUUCCACCAAAUGAAAUCAACCAAUUCCUCAUGAGGUCGUAGAUCGGGUUGAUUUUGUGGCUAGAGUUCAAGAAACCCUUUUUGUUUCCCUUUUGAUUUCCCAUUGAUUGGCUUCAAAUUGGGCGA